rnacentral:tRNA from 1 species
GCCGAGGUAGCUCAGUGGUAGAGCGCAGCCCUGAAGAGGCUGGCGUAGUGGGUUCGAUUCCCACCCUCGGCA